rnacentral:hammerhead_ribozyme from 1 species
AUCCAGCUGACGAGUCCCAAAAGGGACGAAACGUGCGUCUAAGAU